UAGGGUGCUAAAUGUAAUUGUUACAUGUUCUUGCAUGCUAGUAGAAUAAUGUAGAGUUAAUUUGUCUAAUACUUGAAUCUAGUAUGCUUAAUAUAGUGUCAAGUGACUUGAGACCCUAUAAUGAAAAGAUAGUUGAUAAGGAAGGAAUAUGUUUAUGUGGAUAUGAACCUAGGAAAAUGAUAACCUAGGGAGUUAGUGCUAAGAGUGUAUAAAGAACACUUAGAUGAUAACGAGUGGCAUCUAGUCAACAUUGAAUACAAGAACGAGUGGCAUUGAUGAACUUAGAGUGUAGAUGAAAACUCUCAUUGCAUGUUGAACUUAGAAGUGAACUAGUUCCCAAGUGUGGUUGUCUAGAGUGUAGGGUAUCCUCAAUGAUGGGGGAUAUGAUCAUACUCAUAUGUCUGUUCGAAGCUUGGAGUGGUCGCUCCACACAAGCAGUGUACUCCGGAGUUGUCACACGAUAGGGAUAACCUUUUUGGGUCCCGAGGGGUUAGCCUUUUUGGGCCCCGCAGACAGUCUUGGGCGAGUGAGCUGAUCCUCCCCAUGUGAGUCAGGUGAGUGAGCUGAUCCUCACCUGUGAGAUUUAGAUUGGGUUGUGGCAUUUGUGUGAGUCGGGCGAGUGAGCGGAUCCUCCCCGAAGUGUUUAGAGAGUGAGUCGGGCGAGUGAGCGGAUCCUCCCCGGUAUGAUAGAUUGUGAGUCGGGCGAGUGAGCGGAUCCUCCCCGGUAUGAUAGAUUGUGAGUUGGGUGAGUGAGCGGAUCCUCACCUGUGUGAUUAAGUAAGUAUGGCAUUUCAUUAUUGUUGAAGCAUCAUGUAGUAGAAUUGUAGUUAUUUACUAUGAUUAAAGUUUAUGCAUGCAUUAUUGCAGAUUGAGGCAUAGUUAGAUGUUCAUUUUAUACUCCUAACUGUUUAUUAUAAAUGCUUUCAAUUCAGCACAACUAUCUAUCUAUUUGCAUUAUCUCUCUAUGCCUGCUUAGACCUAGUGGGGAGAUCGGCGGAGUCGGCGGCCGAACCCACUGGGAACUAUUCGUAGUUCUCACCCCGUGUGGUUUUGGGGUACAGGUCCGAGUACUAGCGCGCCGGUCGAGGAUCGCGGUAAGGGCUUGGCGCCCUAGGCAUUUGGUAGCUUACUUUCCUAUGCAUUAGUAGUACCCUAUUUCUAUUUUGAGAGUAGAUGAUGUAUAGGGUGUGAGGUAUUUUGGAUGAUGUAAACUCAAUGUUUAAUAUUUUGGAAGUUUAAAUGUAAGUUAAUCAAAUGUAUUAUGGUAUGGAUGUAAUAGAUUAGUAUCUCUCUCUUUUAUUCACUUGUAUGUUGGUUACUUGUGAUGCUUGCUCUUGUUUGUUUUGCACUGUUUGUGCUCUCGCUAUCAUUGUAUGAUCUUGUAUGUAAACGAGUGUAUUUCCUGGGAACUUGUGUACAUGAUCUCGUCGCUUGAGCCUUGGGUGGACAGGGGAGACUCUGUCCGUUCGGCGUCCGUUCGCCGCGCCCGAACCGGACCAAAUUGGUAGCGGGCUCGGGGCGCGGGGCGUGACAGUUGUGGUAUCAGAGCGAGUAAGAGCAAGCAAAAGAGAGAGUCUAGGAUGGACCUAGGAGACCCUAGGACGGUGAGCCUUAAGGUUAUAGGUGCGCAAGUGCGACGUGAACCUAUGACGCGGCGGAAGUUGAUCGAUUGGGUCGAUGUUGGUGUUGAUACUCUAGUAAUUGCUAGAGAUGAUUCAGGUAGUACUAUUUCUUGGUUCAAGGUGGUUGUGUUGGCGGCCGACAACACGAUGCCGAGAGUCAAGAGCUAGUCUGCUUGUGAACUUCCGCCUGAUUAAUGUUGUUGAGUUAUUUGGUCUCGUAGUUGCGACGAUGUUGUUGGGUUAAGUAAUUAACCAAGAUGUUUGCGUUUCAGGAGCCUAUGGCACCGAGGAGACGCUACGCUCGUGGGACUGCUCCGACACCACUUCCAGAGGUGCCAGAGUCAGCCGUGCCUCCAGUGGCGCCAGAGUCGGCUGGGCCUGGUGAGGUGCAGGAGUUGCGGGCGCAGGUGACCGCACUAGCCGGUCAGGUUGGGCGGCUCCAGGACCUGAUGGAGCGGCAGAUGGCAACGGUUGCUGCGAUGGCGGCUGCAGGUCGUGACCCGCCUGCCCCCUCGGUUCGUGCCCCUAAUGCGGCUGAGGGUGAGGGUGUUCCGGUGGCGCCAGUGGCGGCGCAACCCCCGCUGGUGGAUAUUCCUCCGGCUGCGUCGAGUUCUCCUACGCCUGCGGCAGCGGCUGAGGAGGCUGAGCGAGAGCGCGGUUACACGGCUCUCACAAGAUUUACGAAGUUCCACCCGCCUACGUUCGAUGGAGAAGUGAUAGACCCUUGGACGGUGGAGACAUGGUUGGCCUCGAUGGAGACCCUGUUCGAGGACAUCUAUACGGAGGAGCGGGACAGGGUGAAUUUGGCCGCUCAUUGCUUUGAUAAGCGGGCAAGGGUGUGGUGGAAGAGAGUAAAGCAAGAUCGAUCUUCGGAUCUUCCCCCGAUCAAUUGGGAGGAGUUCCGAAGGAUGAUGUUCGCAGAGUACUUUCCCGACAGUGAUAAGAGAAAGAUGCGGGAAGACUUUCGAAAGCUCAAGCAAGGCAACCGCACGGUUCGGGAGUACGAGCGCGAGUUCACCCAUAUCUUGAACUGCGUCCCAGACGUGUCGACGACGGAGCAAGACCGGGCGGAUUGCUUCGUGAGAGGACUCCGACCCGGAGUGUUUCGAUUGGUACAUGCCUUCAAGUUCCACACUUUUGCGGAGGCUUUGGACCGUGCCUUGUGGGUUGAGCACGGGAAUGCUUGCGAGCGAGAAGAGCGCGAGGCAUCCGAGAAGGACAAAGGGAGAAAGCGACGGGGCGGUGGUUUUGGAGAUCAAUCGGGUUCCAAGAAGCCCCCGAAGUACCCGCGAGAACGGUCCGAGGGCCGUGAAGUGCAACGGUGCGUCUUUUGUGGUGGAGACCACCGUGCGACGCAAUGUGAGCACCGCCGUGGGAGGUGCUAUGAAUGCGGCCAGGUGGGGCACAUGGCCCGAGAUUGCCCGAGAAAGGCCCCGUUCGCCCUGCCUGUCGCAUCGGCUCCGGCAAUUCCAGGCCAUUAUGGAGGAGCCCCACCUAUGGUUGCAUCGACUGGGCGUGCUUUGGCGCCACGUCAGCCGGAAGCGGCCCGAUCAGCUCCAAGUGGCCGGGUGUAUGCUGCUCAAGUUGAGGAGCCUGCUGUUGCGGAUGAUGUCAUGGCAGGUAUGGUUUAGUUGAACCGAGUUCGUAUCUCUGCAUGAUAUUAAAUAUGUGCGUUGCAUGCAUUGAAGUUGUGGCCGUAUGCUACUAUUUAUUCCUGAGCAUAGUAGUGACCAGAGUGUGGGUCGGUGUAGUUACCCUAAUGUGCAAUAGGAGUGCCAUAGUAACCCAACCCAAUGAAGUGUAGCGGUUGGUUGUCUUAGUUGCUCCUGGUUGGAGUGUGUGCGAAUUCCAAAGUGAGAAUUUCGCCCCGUUAUGAUUGAGUCGACGCUUGCGAGCGAGAGGCAUUACGGGUGUUGAGAUGGCUAGGCUAUAGGCCUACGUAGUAAUUGUGACCGUUGGUCCAAUUGUGGAAGCCGACGUAAUCAGUUUAACCAAUAACUCUGUGGAGGAGUUGGUGUAAGGAGGUAAAUUUUCGAAAUACGGGAAUUAAACUUCGCUCAAAAUUGACUAGUUGUCAAGUGGGGUUGCUUCGGGAAAGCCGAAGAAGUCAAAUGCACCAGAAGUGCAUUGCAACGAGUCCGCGAGAGCAAGUUAUGCAAAAAUCUACACUUGGCAGAAAUUGCUCUCGGGGACCGGUCCCUGGCAGGGAGAGACCGGUCCCACUGACUGGUGGUUGCGGCGACGCGCGAGGCAACCGGUCCCUGGACCAGGGAGACCGGUUCCCGAACGUGUGAAUUGGAGAAGGUCCUCUGGGACCGGUCCCUGGCAGGGAGAGACCGGUCCCCGAGUAUGAAUUUGCCCAGGCAGGCUGGGUCAUGUUGGAGAAGUUGGAGAACUUGAGAAUAUUGCUCUCUUGAGGGUUAGCAUUAGAGAUGUGCCAAAGUGUGCCAUCUCGCAAUAGAACAAGGGUGCCACCUCGCAAUAGAGCAAAGAUCCGGAUGUGAUGGUAGCACUCGCGGUUGAUCGAUGCACCAAUAAAAUUGCCUUUAGGCAAUCCGGUGAUCGAACCGGAGAGGAUUUCCCGAUUGGGCGUGUAAUGCAAGGAGUAGUUCCUUGCAUGGUAGUAAUGCACUUUUGGAGUUGCGCAUGGCGAAUGUGAGUGAAUUUGGUCUCAUAUUCUCCGUAGUGAGCCUUUGGAGAGUUCCGAUAAGUGAAAGACCACUCCGAGAUGCAAAAGUGCAUUGGAAACCUCGAUUACUCAAUAAGUUGAGUUGAGGUGUGUGUUAGAUUUGAAGUGAGAUAGUUUCGAGGACGAAACUCUUUUAAGGAGGGGAGAAUGUAAGGUACCGGACUUCUAAAAUCAUGAAGUUACGGUGUACAUUUGGUUGGAGAGCCAUUUGAAAGGUUCCGGUGAAGUUCGGUGAAGUUCGGGAGCAUUCGGGCGAUUCGGUGCGCGUAGGCGCGAAAACGGAACCCGAAAGGCUAUGUUGGGCCAUGAGUUAAAUCCGGCAUUAGCGUGGAUGAAAAGAUGAUGAAAAUAUGCUCGAAAACAUGUUUGGAGAGUCUCGGUUCGAUUUGAAACGAAUCGGAGGUCAAACGGGCGAAAACGGAGCGAAAACGGACCCCGAAAGCUGAAAAAGCUGAAAAUUUGGCUAAGUCUGGAAUGCUGUUUUUUCUGGACCUUCGGGGACCGGUCUCUCACUGCCUGGGACCGGUCCCAGCACCCGAAAAUGGCCCAGUUUGGGCUGUUUGUGACUUAUAUUGUUGAGGGACCUUUGUGCAAUUGUGCCAAGGGUAUAGAGGUGUGUUGGAGCUCAUUUUUCUCUCUUCUCCCUCACAUUUUGUAACCUAAACUCUCCCUCUCUCUCUCUAGAAAGGAAAGAAAGAGAAGAAGAAGAAGAGGAAAGUGAAGGAGAAGGUGGAGGAGAAGGCUUGGAGAAGGAGUUCUACUUCUUCUUCCUCCUCUUUGGGCCAUUGGAGAGCUUUUGGAGGUAAGCUUGCUACCCCUUUAAUGGUAGAUCUUAAAUGGUUGGUCUAAAUGUCUUAUAAAUGGUAUUUUUGGAAUCCUAGGAUGCUAAUUAGAUGGAUUAUGCUUAAAUCCAAGGCUAGAGUGAUGGAUUUUUACCUAGUUGAAACCUAGGGCUCCAAAAUGGGGUUUUGGGAAAUCUAGGGUUUUGAUCUAAUUUGAUGGGUCGCAAACCUAAUUGCUAGGUCUCUGAACGCGUCGGCGAAGACGGUUCGUCAAUUCGUCGAGCGAGUGCAAAGAUAUUGAAGAGAAGGCUUGUUGAGGUACAGAUUGCCGCAGCUCGCGGCGAAAGCAUCCUAAAAUCGCGAAAUCGGAAUCGUGGGCUCGUGGCAUCACCUAAAGGUGGGGGAGUGCCAUCCCGAAGCAGUCGGGCUGCCUUUUAUGUCUGAGUUCUAUUGUCGAUCAAUUACAUAUUGUAAUGUUGCAUUGUAGGGUGCUAAAUGUAAUUGUUACAUGUCCUUGCAUGCUAGUAGAAUAAUGUAGAGUUAAUUUGUCUAAUACUUGAAUCUAGUAUGCUUAAUAUAGUGUCAAGUGACUUGAGACCCUAUAAUGAAAAGAUAGUUGAUAAGGAAGGAAUAUGUUUAUGUGGAUAUGAACCUAGGAAAACGAUAACCUAGGGAGUUAGUGCUAAGAGUGUAUAAAGAACACUUAGAUGAUAACGAGUGGCAUCUAAUCAACAUUGAAUAUAAGAACGAGUGGCAUUAAUGAACUUAUAGUGUAGAUGAAAACUCUCAUUGCAUGUUGAACUUAGAAGUGAACUAGUUCCUAAGUGUGGUUGUCUAGAGAGUAGGGUAUCCUCAAUGAUGGGGGAUAUGAUCAUACUCAUAUGUCUGUUCAAAGCUUGGUGUGGUCGCUCCACACAAGCAGUGCACUCCGGAGUCGUCACAUGAUAGGGAUAGCCGUUUGGGUCCCGCAGACAGUCUUGGGCGAGUGAGCUGAUCCUCCCCAGGUGAGUCGGGUGAGUGAGCUGAUCCUCACCUAUGAGUUGAGAUUGGGUUGUCGUACCUAUGUCGAGAGUCGGGCGAGUGAGCGGAUCCUCCCCGUUGUGUUUAGAUUGUGAGUCGGGCGAGUGAGCGGAUCCUCCCCGAAGUGUCUAGAGAGUGAGUCGGGCGAGUGAGCGGAUCCACCCCGGUAUGAUAGAUUGUGAGUUGGGUGAGUGAGCAGAUCCUCACCUGUGUGAUUAAGUAUGUAUGUCAUUUCAUUAUUGUUGAAGCAUUAUGUAGUAGAAUUGUAGUUAUUUACUAUGAUUAAAGUUUAUGCAUGCAUUAUUGCAGAUUGAGGCAUAGUUAGAUGUUCAUUUUAUACUCCUAGCUAUUUAUUAUAAAUGCUUUCAAUUCAGCACAACUAUCUAUCUAUUUGCAUUAUCUCUCUAUGCCUGCUUAGACCUAGUGGGGAGAUCGGCGGAGUCGGCGGCCGAACCCACUGGGAACUAUUCGUAGUUCUCACCCCGUGUGGUUUUGGGGUACAGGUCCGAGUACUAGCGCGCCGGUCGAGGAUCGCGGUAAGGGCUUGGCGCCCUAGGCAUUUGGUAGCUUACUUUCCUAUGCAUUAGUAGUACCCUAUUUCUAUUUUGAGAGUAGAUGAUGUAUAGGGUGUGAGGUGUUUUGGAUGAUGUAAACUUAAUG
rnacentral:lncRNA from 1 species